UAUGUAGGGUGCAAGCGUUAAUCGGAAUUACUGGGCGUAAAGCGUGCGCAGGCGGCUUUGCAAGUCAGAUGUGAAAUCCCCGGGCUUAACCUGGGAACUGCAUUUGUGACUGCAUGGCUGGAGUGCAGCAGAGGGGGAUGGAAUUCCGCGUGUAGCAGUGAAAUGCGUAGAUAUGCGGAGGAACACCGAUGGCGAAGGCAAUCCCCUGGGCCUGCACUGACGCUCAUGCACGAAAGCGUGGGGAGCAAACAGG
rnacentral:rRNA from 1 species